UUAAUUGAAGCCAAAAUAGAGGCUUAUCACUGUUAAUGAUAUAAUUGAAUAUUAUUCCAAUUAAA
rnacentral:tRNA from 1 species